CUGUUGGACUGACAGAAUGAGUUGUUCUGCUGUAAACACAUCUAACCAACCUGUGGGAUUUAAGGAUAUCUGCGUUAACUUGGUGACCAUGAUGCAGCCAGACUGUAGCAGCAGGUUGUGAAGGUGGACGCCAUCAUCUUGUCUUUGCAGCGCUGAUUCUGAAGAGAACGCCUUCACAUAGGACUCAAAGGAAAUCAAUGCCCAAAAGGAAACAGCAGUCCAGACUCUGAUUCCAGCUCCGGUGAGGUUCUGCACACAAAUUGGCUGUCUGAUUCGUUUAAUGGGCACACUGACUUGAACCGAGAGGACACUUGGCUUCCAUGUACGAGACACACAAGUCCCAGAUUGUAUCACUCUAUCAG